CCUACGGGUGGCAGCAGUGAGGAAUAUUGGGCAAUGGACGAGAGUCUGAACCAGCCAAGUAGCGUGAAGGAUGACUGCCCUAUGGGUUGUAAACUUCUUUUAUAUGGGAAUAAAACGUUCCACGUGUGGGAUUUUGUAUGUACCAUAUGAAUAAGGAUCGGCUAACUCCGUGCCAGCAGCCGCGGUAAUACGGAGGAUCCGAGCGUUAUCCGGAUUUAUUGGGUUUAAAGGGAGCGUAGGUGGAUUGUUAAGUCAGUUGUGAAAGUUUGCGGCUCAACCGUAAAAUUGCAGUUGAAACUGGCAGUCUUGAGUACAGUAGAGGUGGGCGGAAUUCGUGGUGUAGCGGUGAAAUGCUUAGAUAUCACGAAGAACUCCGAUUGCGAAGGCAGUUCACUGGACUGCAACUGACACUGAGGCUCGAAAGUGUGGGUAUCAAACAGGAUUAGAUACCCCAGUAGUC
rnacentral:rRNA from 1 species